GAUGAAGAACGUAGCGAAAUGCGAUACUUGGUGUGAAUUGCAGAAUCCCGUGAACCAUCGAGUCUUUGAACGCAAGUUGCGCCCGAAGCCAUUAGGCCGAGGGCACGCCUGCCUGGGUGUCACACGUCGUUGCCCCCCCAUCUACUCCUUCGGGAUUGCGGGGGGCGGAUGAUGGCCUCCCGUGCGCCUCGUCGCGCGGUUGGCAUAAAUGCCAAGUCCUCGGCGACGCACGCCACGACAAUCGGUGGUUGCGAAACCUCGGUUGCCCGUCGUGUGCGGUCGUCGCGCAUCGAGGGCUCGAAAAAAUUGCUGGGCUCCGGCUCGGCUUUCAACGCGACCCCAGGUCAGGCGGGGUUACCCGCUGAAUUUAAGCAUAUCAAUAAGCGGAGGA
rnacentral:misc_RNA from 1 species